GACGAACGCUGGCGGCGUGCUUAACACAUGCAAGUCGAACGAUGAACCCGGAGCUUGCUCCGGCGGAUUAGUGGCGAACGGGUGAGUAACACGUGAGUAACCUGCCCUUGACUCUGGGAUAACUGCUAGAAAUGGUAGCUAAUACCGGAUACGACCCUCGGUGGCAUCACCAGGGGGUGGAAAGAAUUUCGGUCAAGGAUGGACUCGCGGCCUAUCAGCUAGUUGGUGAGGUAACGGCUCACCAAGGCGACGACGGGUAGCCGGCCUGAGAGGGUGACCGGCCACACUGGGACUGAGACACGGCCCAGACUCCUACGGGAGGCAGCAGCGGAGAAUAUUGCACAAUGGGCGCAAGCCUGAUGCAGCAACGCCGCGUGAGGGAUGACGGCCUUCGGGUUGUAAACCUCUUUUAGUAGGGAAGAAGCGAAAGUGACGGUACCUGCAGAAGAAGCACCGGCUAACUACGUGCCAGCCGCCGCUGUAA
rnacentral:rRNA from 1 species